GGAAAGCGCCAGGCAAUUGCUCUUUAAAAGGAGAGGAAAGUCCGAACACUCUCUUCGCUUCGGCGAAGGAAGGUAGCAGGUAAUCCCUGUACGCUCAUAGACGCGUGAGCGAGCGCUGCGAACAGAGACGCCGAGCCGCGAAAGCGGCGAGGCAUCCCUUCGGGAUGAGCUUCGGCGGUAACGCCGGAGGUGAAACGGCAAAAUGCGUACUUGGGUGCAAGGCUGUGCCGGACACCAUUCGUUUGAAUGGCGUCUGGAAUGCCGCUCGAGCCGGGAAGUGAUUCCCGGCCCAGAUAAAUAAUUGCCGCGCUUUCCGCAUGAAGCGGGAAGAGCACAGAAUUCGGCUUAUCGGCGCGACGCGUCC
rnacentral:RNase_P_RNA from 1 species